UGCCCAUGUUAUAAGAAAUUAGAAAUGUUGGAGAUGGCUAUGUGUUAUUUGAACAUUAGUCCAAAGGAAAUGUUUAAAAUAAAUGAUGACUGUUCUUCAGUUUCUGUUUGUGAGAUAUGAACCAUAGUACUUGGCCAGGAAAAGGUAUUAUUGGCAGAAAAUUAGUAUAGAUUUUAUGUAGGCUAAGUGAAUAACUCAUGAUCUUUGUUCAUAUGAUUACUAGCAUUUUAUAAUUAGUCCAGCAUUCCUGUGUACAAACAUUCCUUUAUCAAAUAAUGUACUUUGCAAACCAUACUAUAUUUUAGUACAUGACUAUUUUAUACCUAAGUUAAAAUAUAUACCCCAAAACCUUAUACUAUAUACUGUAGUAAAACUGAAGUGACACAUUCAGCUUUUAAGCCAUACCCCUUUAGUGGGCUACAUUGUUCAGUCAGGCUGGUGUUAACCUUUAUGCUUUUGUUUGUUUUUUUAAUCAAAGCAUAAAUACUGCAUUGGUAGAGCCUGAAGAAUUUUUAGUCACUUUAAUAGAAAUGUCAAAAAUGACAUAUUAAAAAUUAUGAAAAAAAUUUCUGCACUUAUCUGAGGAAAUAAGCAUCUCAAGUGUUAAAAGAACAAGCCUGCAUUAUUUAGAGAUGAAAAUGAUUCUUUCUGUCAAAAUAACUUAUUAAUUACUCAGCAAAAGAAAGUCUAAAUUAUCAGUCCUUUAAUGUUGUAUGAUCUGGGCAAGAAGCAUAAAUUGCAGAGGCAUUCCCUUAUCAUAGGGAAAUAAAAACAUAAAACAUAAAAACAUCUGAAAAGAAAAUCUAUCAUUCCUAUAUUUAGUGUCUCAGAGUUUUUCCCCCAAAAGAUGCUUGUCAAAUACUGUGCUUCAUGGUUAAAAUCCCAGUUUCCAGACUAAAUGUGGUAAGAAAUAUGUCUUAUAUCCCAAAAUCUUGGUGUACUUGUACUUCUGGGGUUUUAUUUCCCUGUAAUUUUUUAAAGCUUUUAAAAGUUCUUAACUACAGCUCAAAGACUAAAGUCAAAACAUACAGGUAGGCAUUUAUAUUUCAGCCUGGUAUUUUGGAGGUGUGUUUGUCAAUGAUUUCUAUAUUAAUAAUAUAAUUCUUUCAUGCUAUAAUGUUAAAUUUAAAAAAUUGUAUUAUAGGUAAAAGGUAAUAUAACAUCAAACAAAUAUUUUUGUACUCUAUAUUGAGAGCUUUUUUUUUUUUUUUCCAAAUUGGAAUUAAUCUAUUGAAACCUAAGAGGUAGGCAAAUGUCUUCUGUUGAUGUACAUAAAAAUAGGCAAUAAGUUUGAUGCUCAUGAGCAUCAGACCUCUAACAAAAGCUAAUUAAACUGUUUUCCAAAGAUAGGUAAAAUUUAUCAGAGGUAUUUAAGAUUUAUAAACUCUGAAAAGCCAGCUCUUCCUAGUCUUCUGUUUGUAACUUACUCUACCUACUGCAAGGUAUUUUUGUAAGAAUGCCAGUGUAAGAAAUCAACCAUUCUUCCCAGAUGGUCUGAUCAGUAUUUCUUUUAUCUACUGCUGAGAGAAAAGAUGAGUUAGGUAAUCUAUAAAUAUAUAGUCUGCAUUUAAAUACUGUCAAAACCAUCAAUAAUUAGGCUGUACCAGGAAACAGAGCUUUGCAGAAAGUAUGUGUGUAGGAAAGCACUAUCUUUUCCUGUUCUGCCAGCACUAGUCUUGCUCUUUAGCCAUAUAGCACAAGGCCAUUUUUAAAAAAGACUCUCAGAGCCGGAAGAAACCCCAGUGCCUAGUGGGGCCGUGCCUUGAAGUCACCUUGGCAGCUUUUGCUUUUGUUUUUUCAAAUGCACUUGACUGUGCCCCCCUCCCCAGUUGUAAUUGGAAGGGGAACAUAUAUAUAUGUAGAAAGAUUUUUCUCAAUUAUAAUGUCAUCCCUCCCACCUCUAACCUUAUAAUGACCUAAGGAGUUUCUCGUUUAUUUAUGCUCAUAUUGUUAGUGACAGAGUCAUGUGAGGUCUUUUUUGCAGUAAAUACUAUAAGUAGAAUCUUCUGUUUUACAUACUUAGCUAUUAAAAAAAAAAUCCUAAAACUAUCAUUUGAAAUCCAGAAAGCAUUAUGAAAAUCGAUUCUUUGCAACUGAAAGAUUAUCCCCUGUGCCUAGAGUAUCUAAAGGUAAAAAAAUUUGCAAAAUUGCUUAUCUCCCUAAGUGAAGAAAUUCUAGCUCUAUCUGCUGCCCAACCUGAGAACUGUGACUUAAACAUUUAAUUAUUUAUUGUUGGUCCGUGUGAAAACAUUUAGAAUGGCUGGCAGCCUACCAGACCCUGAGUUAAACAUUCUACAGCCUGACUAGACUGCUGGGUAGCCAACUUCACAUCAGAUUAAACACAUUCUCUUCAUGAUGAAUAGCUUGGAACCCAAAAACUUGAUUUUGUU
rnacentral:lncRNA from 1 species